UUAUUGGGCGUAGAGGGCUCGCAGGCGGUUUCUUAAGUCUGAUGUGAAAGCCCCCGGCUCAACCGGGGAGGGUCAUUGGAAACUGGGGAACUUGAGUGCAGAAGAGGAGAGUGGAAUUCCACGUGUAGCGGUGAAAUGCGUAGAGAUGUGGAGGAACACCAGUGGCGAAGGCGACUCUCUGGUCUGUAACUGACGCUGAGGAGCGAAAGCGUGGGGAGCGAACAGGAUUAGAUACCCUGGUAGUCCACGCCGUAAACGAUGAGUGCUAAGUGUUAGGGGGUUUCCGCCCCUUAGUGCUGCAGCUAACGCAUUAAGCACUCCGCCUGGGGAGUACGGUCGCAAGACUGAAACUCAAAGGAAUUGACGGGGGCCCGCACAAGCGGUGGAGCAUGUGGUUUAAUUCGAAGCAACGCGAAGAACCUUACCAGGUCUUGACAUCCUCUGACAAUCCUAGAGAUAGGACGUCCCCUUCGGGGGCAGAGUGACAGGUGGUGCAUGGUUGUCGUCAGCUCGUGUCGUGAGAUGUUGGGUUAAGUCCCGCAACGAGCGCAACCCUUGAUCUU
rnacentral:rRNA from 1 species